rnacentral:rRNA from 1 species
UACGUGAGGGUGCGAGCGUUGUCCGGAAUUACUGGGCGUAAAGAGCUCGUAGGUGGUUUGUCGCGUUGUUCGUGAAAACUCACAGCUUAACUGUGGGCGUGCGGGCGAUACGGGCAGACUGGAGUACUGCAGGGGAGACUGGGAAUUCCUGGUGUAGCGGUGAAAUGCGCAGAUAUCAGGAGGAACACCAGUAGCGAAGGCGGCUCGCUGGGCCGUUCCUGACGCUGAGACGCGAAAGCGUGGGGAGCAAACAGG